rnacentral:lncRNA from 1 species
CAUUUGUCAGUGUAAUUCUCAAUGUUUCUCCCCUGAUAAGUGAUUGCUACUAUUGCAUGCUUACAAGGAAUUCCAGAUAAGUCCCAGGCCUCACAGUCACAAGACCUUUUUCUCAAGUUAACAAUGUAAUGUGUGUUUGAAUCCCUUACCUGAAACUCAACAGUCCCAUCCACAACUAAAGAACACUGCCUAGACUCUUCUUGUGCUUUGUUCAACUUACCUACCACAUUUUGCACAAACUGACCCCUCAAUUUUUUACCCUUAGCAGCCCUUUUUGUGAUU